AGCUUUGCACAGUAGCAGUAUCGUAGCCAAUGAGGUUAAUCCGAGGCGCGAUUAUUGCUAAUUGCAGCAGCAACAAUUAUUACUAUCCUAGAACUCAAUGACAGACCAGCUAUCAGACUCGAAAUGCGCCAAUUGUAUACAGUAGAGUCUCGCUUACCCAAGCCUCACUUAUCCAAGUUUCUGGAUUAUCCAAGCCAUUUUUAGUCAAUGUUUUCAAUAUAUCGUGAUAU
rnacentral:snRNA from 1 species